AGAGUUUGAUCAUGGCUCAGAUUGAACGCUGGCGGCAGGCCUAACACAUGCAAGUCGAGCGGCAGCACGGGUACUUGUACCUGGUGGCGAGCGGCGGACGGGUGAGUAAUGCCUAGGAAUCUGCCUGGUAGUGGGGGAUAACGCUCGGAAACGGACGCUAAUACCGCAUACGUCCUACGGGAGAAAGCAGGGGACCUUCGGGCCUUGCGCUAUCAGAUGAGCCUAGGUCGGAUUAGCUAGUUGGUGAGGUAAUGGCUCACCAAGGCGACGAUCCGUAACUGGUCUGAGAGGAUGAUCAGUCACACUGGAACUGAGACACGGCCCAAACUCCUACGGGAGGCAGCAGUGGGGAAUAUUGGACAAUGGGCGCAAGCCUGAUCCAGCCAUGCCGCGUGAGUGAUGAAGGCCUUAGGGUUGUAAAGCUCUUUUGUCCGGGAAGAUAAUGACUGUACCGGAAGAAUAAGCCCCGGCUAACUUCGUGCCAGCAGCCGCGGUAAUACGAAGGGGGCUAGCGUUGCUCGGAAUCACUGGGCGUAAAGGGCGCGUAGGCGGACUCUUAAGUCGGGGGUGAAAGCCCAGGGCUCAACCCUGGAAUUGCCUUCGAUACUGAGAGUCUUGAGUUCGGAAGAGGUUGGUGGAACUGCGAGUGUAGAGGUGAAAUUCGUAGAUAUUCGCAAGAACACCAGUGGCGAAGGCGGCCAACUGGUCCGAUACUGACGCUGAGGCGCGAAAGCAUGGGGAGCAAACAGGAUUAGAUACCCUGGUAGUCCACGCCGUAAACGAUGAAUGCCAGCCGUUGGGGUGCAUGCACCUCAGUGGCGCAGCUAACGCUUUAAGCAUUCCGCCUGGGGAGUACGGUCGCAAGAUUAAAACUCAAAGGAAUUGACGG
rnacentral:rRNA from 1 species